AUGGAUAUGGAGGCAAUCCUAAACAUUCCCCUUAGCAGCAGAAUUCAAGCGGAUUUCUGGUCUUGGCAUUAUGAGCAAAGUGGGAUUUUCACAGUCAGGUCAGCAUACAGAUUACUAGCCUCCACCAAGCAGCAGCGCACCGACUGUCUUGAGCACAACGAUGGCCACUCCAACAUCCAAGCCGUCAGCCGGUCAUGGUCCAAGCUUUGGGGAGCGGCGGUCCCCUCCAAGGUGAGGGUUUUUGCCUGGCGUUUAGCCAAAACCUCAAUACCCACAGGGGCGGUCCGGAAGCACAGAAGUAUGGCAGACUCCGCGGAAUGCUCUAUUUGCCAUGCGGCAGUUGACUCAUGGCGCCAUGCUUUAUUUGAUUGUCAUAUGGCAUGCUGUGUUUGGGCGCUCGCCGAUGAGGACACCACUGCAACGAUCAUAUCCAACCGAACCGAAGAUGCAAAGCUUUGGAUGUUUUGGCUGAAGUUCAUGGCGGAGCUGGGCCAAAUUCCAAAGAAAGGGGCACGUACAAGAGAACUGCACGCGUCAUCCAAGGACCUGCAUGUGACGCCUGGGGGCAUGCAUGUAACUCCCAGGGACCUGUCUGCAAGAUCCGGAGUGCAUAUGGUGGCUUCUCUAAGAUUGGGGACAGGGGCGCCUCAGUCGUGGUGUGCCGAGACAAACAGGGUAACUAUCUGGGAGCUUCUGCCAUCAUUUUUUAAGGUUGUUUGGAGCCAGCAAUUCUUGAGGCACGAGCAUGCAGUGAGGCGCUAG
rnacentral:rRNA from 1 species